rnacentral:sRNA from 1 species
UUGUAGCUGGCCAUUAGCGUGGCAUGUGCACACCUUGGUAUAAUCCAAAUUCAUUCACACCUUUGUGCACCAUUCCGUGGCGAUUGAUGGUAUUUAAAGUUGGGCUUAGUCGCUCUUCUUUGAUGCCAAAAAUUUCCAUGUUUUCUUACAUACUCUACAGUUUUAGAAUGUUGAUUGCGUUGAACGCAUUUAUAUACAACUUUCAGCAACGGAUCUCUUGGCUCUCGCAUCGAUGAAGAACGCAGCGAAAUGCGAUAAGUAAUGUGAAUUGCAGAAUUCAGUGAAUCAUCGAAUCUUUGAACGCACCUUGCGCUCCUUGGUAUUCCGAGGAGCAUGCCUGUUUGAGUGUCAUGGUAUUCUCAAUCCAUUCCGGAUUUUUGAAAAGAAAUCCGGUUCGGAAUUGGAAUUGGAGGUCUUUUGUUGGUUAUAUUUAUUGAUCAACUCCUCUGAAAUGCAUUAGUGAGAAUGAAGCGCAGUCUUCAGUGUGAUAAUUAUCUGCACUGUGGGAUGGCGUCAGAAGUUCUGGCUUCCAACAGUCUAUUUGCUUAGACAUUUUUAAUGACAUCUGACCUCAAAUCAG